rnacentral:lncRNA from 1 species
ACAAUUGGGAAAACUGGUUAUUUUACCAAGGCUUUAACUGGAAUGGUGUGCCUUCCUUUAAGGAAUCAAAUUUGACUUAUGGAGCCAAUAAAGCCCUUGGAAAGCUGGCCUCAGAUUUCAUGUACAGUCCCUGUACAGGGUUUCCGAUCUGUGAGAUUUUUUAAACUGACAGGAUCAUGGCCAUUUCACAGACAACUACCCAAAAAUAUCUACAGACGGCACUGCUCCUACCAACCCGAUACCAGAGAACUCUCUGUCCCCUCGUCAGCAGGAAGUAGCCAGAAAGAACAUGCCGCCCCUCGUCCUUUUUAUAACUAUGAGGUCUGGAUUGACAGAGCAGAAGCAUCACCAUUGUGGAUAAGCGCCUCAUUUUAAAAUUCACCUUAAUCAAAAACUGCCUAAAUCCAAAGGGCAUCAGCCUAAUGGCUAAGGUCAGCAUGAUCACAAACCACAAAUAACAUCUCCAACCAAAAACAUUCCAGACACCUCCCACAGAGAAAUGCUAGCCUCGGGAUAACCCCUCUCCUGCCGGAAAGAUGUCACCCCCAAGAUAACCACCCCUCCGCCCAGAACAUUCCAACCCUGCCACAAACUUCUCCCCCACACAGAAACAUUCCAAGCUUGUAAUAAGCUCCCUCACCCUAAAACCAACGUACAUUCUUAGUCUGCAAGGAAAAGUGCUCCUGACUGACCAGCCA